AAUCAAUUAGCUAAAAGAAACUAUGAAUGAAUGGAGUUGUUGGGGUUUACAAUUUCAUCUUAUCCACCCUCUUAUAUCUACUUUUCUUAUCUAAUUUGCUUAUUUAUCAUAUUGUCAUGCAAACUUUCUUGGUCUACCCUUAACCCAAUUCCUUGGCGAAAAGAGCCUAUUACUAAUUACCGGCUUGCUAUCUCUAGCCUCCCCU
rnacentral:lncRNA from 1 species